GACGAACGCUGGCGGCGUGCUUAACACAUGCAAGUCGAACGGAAAGGCCCUGCUUGCAGGGUACUCGAGUGGCGAACGGGUGAGUAACACGUGGGUGAUCUGCCCUGCACUUCGGGAUAAGCCUGGGAAACUGGGUCUAAUACCGGGUAGGAGCCAUUUUUAGUGUGAUGGUUGGAAAGUUUUUUCGGUGUAGGAUGAGCUCGCGGCCUAUCAGCUUGUUGGUGGGGUAAUGGCCUACCAAGGCGGCGACGGGUAGCCGGCCUGAGAGGGUGGACGGCCACAUUGGGACUGAGAUACGGCCCAGACUCCUACGGGAGGCAGCAGUGGGGAAUAUUGCACAAUGGGCGCAAGCCUGAUGCAGCGACGCCGCGUGGGGGAUGACGGCCUUCGGGUUGUAAACUCCUUUCGCUAGGGACGAAGCUUUUUGUGACGGUACCUAGAUAAGAAGCACCGGCUAACUACGU
rnacentral:rRNA from 1 species